rnacentral:lncRNA from 1 species
CAGGAAUUAUCCCGAAAAGUUAACAUGUCACCUCCACGAGGCCAUCCUCUGUGCUGCGUGUGGACACUGGCUGACCGAAGGCAGCUGCUGCGGACCACCCUCCUCCUCCUGCUGCUGCUGCUGCUGCUGCUGGGCAGAGAGGCUAGCCCACUGUCCACCACCUCUGCCUGUUCCCUGGCAGCUCCGCAUGGCCCAAGGGAGGAGGGCCUGCCUCCCAGGGAAUUCCUCUUCUAGCCCAGCCACCCUGGAUUCCCAGUGACCAGAUCCUCAGCAGGGACAACCUGUCCACCAUCUUCCAGGGUAGGGGACCAUGGUGGGUGAAGCAGUGGGAAUGGAUUGUCCUCCACAGCGCAUUUGGAGGCCUCCUGGGCCAUUCACCUCGCCUUUUCCACACGUUGGCCUCACCAGGGCCACCUCUUCUCAUCUGCAUCCAUUGCUCCACCUUGCCAGGCUGCAGAGCUCCAGCUGUGAUGGUUCUCAUGGGCUGAAGUGGAGAUAAAAGACCUGGGUGCUCCAAAGCUGCCAGGGGCCUGGGCUGAGACCAGUAUUAUUUAUUUGCUGUUUUAAUUUAUUGAGUUUCUUUAUGUCUCUGUUCUCUGUUCAGGGAAGGGGGAGUAGCAGCAGCGCCCUCCUGCCAUCUGUCUGUCUGUUCUGUCUGUCUGACUUGGGCAGGGUGGGUCCUGAGCCCAAGUUCCCUCUGAGGACAGAGCCGUUGUGGGGCUGGGGACAGUGGGGAGCCAGCCAGUGGAUGCAGCACUGGCAAGCUACUGUAAACUUUAAAAGAAUUCCUGCAAGAUAUUUUUAUAAACUUUCUUUUCUUGGUUGUUUUUGGAAAAGGGUGUCGGGUGGGGCUGCUGGGGCAGAGCUAGGGUUUGUGUUUCGGCUCCUCGCUCUUGGCUAUUUCUAUACACAUAUACAUAUAUAUAUAUAUAUAUUUAAAGAACGAUGUGGUUAGCUCUGUCCC